AUGAUGUGUGGUUUCAGUACUAAUAGGCACAAGGAGGAGGAGGUUUGCCUUGAUGGGCAGGUGGUGCCUCAGAAGGACAUCUUUAGAUAUUUGGGGUCUAUGUUGCAGAAGGAUGGGGAUAUCGAUGAAGAUGUCAAUCAUCGAAUCAAAGCCGGAUGGAUGAAGUGGCACAAAGCUUCUAGCAUUCUCUGUGACAAGAGAGUGCCACAAAAGCUAAAAGGGAAGUUCUAUAGAACGGCGGUUCGACCCACAAUGUUGUAUGGCGCUGAGUGUUGGCCAACUAAAAGGCAAUAUGUUCAACAGUUAGGUGUGCCAGAGAUGCGCAUGUUGAGAUGGAUAUGUGGCCACACAAGGAAGGACCGAGUCUGGAAUGAUGAUAUACAUGAUAGAGUUGGGGUAGCGCCGAUUGAAGAGAAGCUUGUCCAACAUCAUCUGAGAUGGUUUGGACAUAUUCAACGCAGGCCUCCAGACGCUUCGGUGCAUAGCGGAUGGCUAAAGCGUGCCGAUAAUGUUAAGAGAGGUCGGGGUAGACCAGACUUGACAUGGGAGGAGUCCGUAAAGAGGGAUCUGAAGGACUGGAGUAUCACCAGAGAAUUAGCCAUGGACAAGGGUGAGUGGAAGCUUGCUAUCCAUGUGUCAGAACCUUGA
rnacentral:rRNA from 1 species